rnacentral:sRNA from 1 species
GGGAUGGUACAAGAAAUGUUCAAAUAAAGGGGGAGCUAUCACUAUUGAUAGUAUUGUUUGAAUGGUAUAUUGUACUAAUUCUAGUUUAACAUCUUCAAUAUUUAUUACUUACUUUCCUUUCUAUGCCGGUUGGUUCACGCCAACCGGUUUUUUC